rnacentral:lncRNA from 1 species
CUGAUGUGUGGCAAAUGAGAAGCUGGUCUAUAGAGAGUCAAAGAGAAUCAAAAUGGAGACCAAGAAGUUCCUCUGAAGUGUGCUGUUUCCCAUUUAUAUUGCUUUACUGGCCUGCUGGCCACAAAUUAGUUUGAUUCCGUUGUGCCCUGUAUGGUAGGAGCAUGCAGCAGUACAUUACAGACCCUGCUUCAUAAUGUAAUUCAUCUCAUAAACCACCCACUGUUUAAUUCAAUCCAUCCAAGAAAGCUGAUUAACAAGGUGGAUUUGGGAAGCUGCCUAGUGGGUUACAGAGACUAGCACACUUAGUGGAUACAGUGGCAGAACUGAGGACUAGAAGACUGAGCAACUACAAGAGCUAACUUGGGAGCAACAGCUCAUGUAUCCCAGGUGAAGCCCAAAGGAAUAGAAGCUGCUCACUUCUUUAUGGAAGGACUCAGCUGCUCACAACAGCAAGCCAUUGGCUUAUUCAACAGAACACAUCUUCUGAAGAUAUUUGAAUAUGAUAGCCAAGAAGACUGAGCAGUCUUUGAAGAAACAGAGGACCAUGCAGCUGAAGAGAUGCAAUAGGUUUUCAGAGAACUGAAUCCUUGCACAUCCUUCAGCUGAAUAAGCCCACCCUUCUGAAGAGUUUGGUCCAGGCUUUGUACAUCAAACAACCUUCAGUGAAGUUAUUCUUGCCUCAUACAAGUGGUAAGAGGAAAGCAAGUUAUUCAUAUUUAAUGCUAUUUUGUGCCAGAUGUUUUGCUGGUAGAAAUCCAUAGCUCCACAGGCACCAAUUUCUUCAGGAUCUGGAAUGUCUGGCCCAAUUUCUUUCUCACUGUGGAUGGUCUGUGAAAGAAACCACUUUAUUUUGCAAUAUUGAAUAUUCUUGCCGGGAAGUUAUAAACAAAAACAAAAUAAUGAGAGACAGGGUCUCUAAUAAGCUUCCUGUCGCAUGAGGCUCUGGUUCUAUUGAAGCAUAUGUGUUUGCUGACUUGCUUCCAAAAGGUUUGUUGAGUGGUGGUGAUUAGUUUCUGUUGUACUGAUAUUAUCUCUCUGUAGUCUCAUUCAAUACAAGUAGUUCUGUAAACAGUGAAGUCUUUUUUUCCUACGGGUUUGUACCUUGGAUUGUGUUUCAGCAUGGAUUCUCUGAUGUUUAAUGGGGAUUGAGUUCAUGUUCAGCCAAUUUCUUCAAUGAGGGAUGAAUAAUCUGUCUUUUUGGCCAUCUAUUUCCACAAAAUUUGCUGGAAUUAAAUAUCUUCAACGCCCUCUAUCAAAGUUGACUGGGAUUUAUGAACAAGUUUUGGAGUUAUUUGGGGCUGUCCAAUGUAGAUAAAAGAGAGUCUCAUUUUCUUACAAAAACAGAAUGUAAAAAUGCAUUUUUAAAGUGUUUUGUCUGAUUCUGUUCUAUUUGUGACCAGUCAUAUAGGAUGUGUUUUAUUUGUAAAGCUGUAUAAAAGUAUGAUGUGGGUUUUUUUGCCCUGUUGAGUGCAUAUUAAAGCAUCUUUAGUUUAUUCUUGUUAUGGGCCAGCUGAGAUUGCUUUUUUUUUUGGUCCUUGUUGGAACAUGGGAAAAGGUUUACACAGGUGAGUGCAGAGAAAGGACACAUGGUUGCUCAUUUAGUACCAGAGAUCUCUGCUUCUGGUUUGGAAAGGAAGAAAGGAAACACAGAAUUGAAUAUAACCUUUUAGCUUGCUGAGUCCAGUUUUGUGCUUCUGCAGGGAGCUAAGUUCUCAAUCCUUCUCACAAGCAGACAGUGCUAUUCAAAAAUGUACUCUUUCCUCCUUGUUGUGUCUCCUAUCUUCCUAGUUACCUACUUUAUUUGGGAGACUGCUCUAGAAUCUCCUAAUUUUGACAGGAAGAAAACCACUAAUUUCUGUGGUCACUUUAUGUAUCUUUUUUCUUAUUCCAUGAAAAAAAAAAGACAUCUAUUCAUUUUGUU